GUCACGAGUGCGCUGGAGGAGGAGGAGGGCUGUUCUGAUCCAGUUGCGACAGGCGUGGGAGAGGCUUGCCGAGGCUCGGGGUACGCGCUCUCUCUCUAUCACGGUCUCACGAGUGAGGUAUAUGGGAGGCUGACUGUACUUUGCUGUAGUCACGGAGAGCCUCCGGCAAUCCCGCGUCAUCUCUGGCAAUUUACGGAAUCUCUUCGUGUAAACGCAGGAUUGCACUCUUUCUUCUCUCCGGGUGAAUUGAUCGGACAUAAUUGCCACCCUCUUAGUUAUGACGGCAAUGUGGAGAAGGAUCUUAGAGAUAAUCUACAGGAAGCAAUUAGUUGUCUCCUUUCUUGAUUGAUUGAUUGAGUGCCAUCAAGUUGGCGUUGACUCCUAGCGACCACAUAGAAAGAGUGAAGUCCAAGACAGCCAGAAUACAAGAGAUUUUUUCCGCAAAGAACCCAUUAAAAGCAGCAGAACAAAGUCCCUGUAGAUUGGUUUGAAUUGGAAGGAGCCUGAAUCAAACUCCUCUCAACCUGGGACAGCUCUGCUGGACACAAACCUGCAGAAGCAAUGUGCACAGUCUAUUUAGGGCCUAGGCCCUAAAGCCAUAUGAGGUGGUUCCAAUAUCCACAUACAUUGGUUCCAAUAUGCAUUUUAGGAAAGAUAGAAGAUGCUGCUUAUAUUUUGCACACCUUCUCAAAAAUCAGUAUUGGAUACAAACCGAUCCUUAUAAUGAAGAUGAUUAUCCUGUGAAACAUUAUGAAGCAAUGGAAACGGAGUGCCCAUUCUAUGUGAAUUAGAUCGUUAGUCCAUCUAUUUUGGUGUGUUUUUAUUUAUUUUAAAUAAUUUAUAUCCUGCUUUUUCAGUCAGCUUGUGACAGCUCACAAGUAUUUAAAAACCAAGACAAUAAAGAACAAUUAACAAGGCAAAUGCACAUUAACAGGACUAAUACAAAAAAGCAGCAAUAAAAAUCAAUUGCAAUAAGAAAAACAGAAGACAAUGAAUUAAAGGUUUGUUUGAAAAGCCAGACUCUGAAAGGUAGGAAGGCUGGAUAGCAGGCAAAUCUCUCAAGGCAGAGAGUUUCAAAUUUUAAGGACCACCGAAGAGGAGCCCACCUUGUACAUCCCCCACCAAUCAGGCUCUAAAAGUGACAGGAAGCACAAAAAGUCCUCUCUGGACAAUCUUAUGAGGACAGGCAGUCCUUUAUUGGACCCAAGCAAUUAAGGACUUUCGAAAUAAGAACCAGCACUUUGUAUUGUGCUUGGAAGUGGACUGGGAGCCAGUAAAGUUGGAACAAGGGAGUCUCACGCUUCCAACACUGGAGCAGCAGCAUAAUGCCCAAACUGCAUUCUCUGAACUAUCUUCAAAGGCAGCCCUACAUAGAGCAUGCUGCCAUCUUCCAAUCAAGAUGUGACAAUGGCAUAGAUAACCAAUAUUAUCUGCGCACUGACAGGCAACAAUUCUCCAGGGUUUUUGCCAACUCUAUCUGGAAAUACCAGGGAAUGGGAUUGAAUUUAGGUCAUUGCAUGUAAAACAGUUGCUUUGUCACUGAGCACUUCUCCUCCUCCCUGAUCGGAGAAGCCAUAAUACAGCUUGUACUAAGAAAUGAUAAGAACAAAUGCUCAUUUAUAUUACACUUUCCAUACAGCGGAACCUUGUUAGUAUGUUACACGUCAACAUAGUUUUUAAAUUCCUGCAUUUCUUUUCAAUAAUAGUGUGAUCUGUUAAUGAUUUAAACCCUUUUAGUUGCACUUAACUUGAUCUAAAGCCAUUGACUAAAUUGAAACUAAUAUCCUGGUCACAAACCAACUUAUUUUAAACUAAACUCUAUUGAAAUCAACAUUUAUUUCCAAUUAAAUGACCUGGAAUAUUAAAGUGUGGUGUUCACAUCA